rnacentral:rRNA from 1 species
UUGGCGACCGGCGCACGGGUGAGUAACGCGUAUGCAACUUACCUAUCAGAGGGGAUAGCCCGGCGAAAGUCGGAUUAAUACCCCAUGAAACAGGGUCCCGCAUGGGAAUAUUUGUUAAAGAUUCAUCGCUGAUAGAUAGGCAUGCGUUCCAUUAGGCAGUUGGCGGGGUAACGGCCCACCAAACCGACGAUGGAUAGGGGUUCUGAGAGGAAGGUCCCCCACAUUGGAACUGAGACACGGUCCAA